AGUGAACGCUGGCGGUAGGCCUAACACAUGCAAGUCGAACGGCAGCGCAGUAAGAGCUUGCUCUUACGGGUGGCGAGUGGCGGACGGGUGAGGAAUACAUCGGAAUCUACUUUUUCGUGGGGGAUAACGUAGGGAAACUUACGCUAAUACCGCAUACGACCUACGGGUGAAAGCAGGGGAUCUUCGGACCUUGCGCGAUUGAAUGAGCCGAUGUCGGAUUAGCUAGUUGGCGGGGUAAAGGCCCACCAAGGCGACGAUCCGUAGCUGGUCUGAGAGGAUGAUCAGCCACACUGGAACUGAGACACGGGCCAGACUCCUACGGGAGGCAGCAGUGGGGAAUAUUGGACAAUGGGCGCAAGCCUGAUCCAGCCAUCCCGCGUGGGUGAAGAAGGCCUUCGGGUUGUAAAGCCCUUUUGUUGGGAAAGAAAAGCAGCAGGUUAAUACCCCGCUGUUCUGGCGGUACCCAAAGAAUAAGCACCGGCUAACUUCGU
rnacentral:rRNA from 1 species